rnacentral:rRNA from 1 species
AAAAAAGGUAAGCUACUAAGAGCGAAUGGUGGAUGCCUUGACUGGUAAAGGCGAUGAAGGACGUACUAGACUGCGAUAAGCUACGGGGAGCUGUCAAGAAGCUUUGAUCCGUAGAUUUCCGAAUGGGGCAACCCAAUGUAUAGAGAUAUGCAUUACCUAUAUAGGAGCGAACGAGGGGAAUUGAAACAUCUUAGUACCCUCAGGAAAAGAAAUCAAUAGAGAUUGCGUCAGUAGCGGCGAGCGAAAGCGCAAGAGGGCAAACCCAGUGCUUGCACUGGGGGUUGUAGGACUGCAAUGUGCAAGAGCUGAGUUUAGCAGAACAUUCUGGAAAGUAUAGCCAUAGAGGGUGAUAGUCCCGUAUGCGAAAAACAAAGCUUAGCUAGCAGUAUCCUGAGUAGGGCGGGACACGAGGAAUCCUGUCUGAAUCCGGGUCGACCACGAUCCAACCCUAAAUACUAAUACCAGAUCGAUAGUGCACAAGUACCGUGAGGGAAAGGUGAAAAGAACUGAGGUGAUCAGAGUGAAAUAGAACCUGAAACCAUUUGCUUACAAUCAUUCAGAGCACUAUGUAGCAAUACAGUGUGAUGGACUGCCUUUUGCAUAAUGAGCCUGCGAGUUGUGGUGUCUGGCAAGGUUAAGCAAACGCGAAGCCGUAGCGAAAGCGAGUCUGAAUAGGGCGCUUAGUCAGAUGCUGCAGACCCGAAACGAAGUGAUCUAUCCAUGAGCAAGUUGAAGCUAGUGUAAGAACUAGUGGAGGACUGAACCCAUAGGCGUUGAAAAGCCCCGGGAUGACUUGUGGAUAGGGGUGAAAGGCCAAUCAAACUUCGUGAUAGCUGGUUCUCUCCGAAAUAUAUUUAGGUAUAGCGUUGUGUCGUAAUAUAAGGGGGUAGAGCACUGAAUGGGCUAGGGCAUACACCAAUGUACCAAACCCUAUCAAACUCCGAAUACCUUAUAUGUAAUCACAGCAGUCAGGCGGCGAGUGAUAAAAUCCGUCGUCAAGAGGGAAACA